rnacentral:rRNA from 1 species
CGCGUAGGUGGCUGUGUAAGUCGGGGGUGAAAUGCUGCGGCUCAACCGCAGCGCUGCCUUCGAGACUGCACGGCUUGAGCACGGUAGAGGCCGAUGGAAUUCCCGGUGUAGCGGUGGAAUGCGUAGAGAUCGGGAAGAACACCGAUGGCGAAGGCAGUCGGCUGGGCCGUUGCUGACACUGAGGCGCGACAGCGUGGGGAGCAAACA